rnacentral:rRNA from 1 species
GGCUCAUUAUAUAAGUUAUCGUUUAUUUGAUAGCACCUUGCUACUUGGGUAACCGUGGUAAUUCUAGAGCUAAUACAUGCUAAAAAUCCCGACUCCGGAAGGGAUGUGUUUAUUAGAUUCAAAACCAAUGCCCCCUGGGCUCACUGGUGAUUCAUGAUAACCGCUCGAAUCGCCCGGCCUUGCGCUGGCGAUGGUUCAUUCAAAUUUCUUCCCUAUCAACUUUCGAUGUUUGGGUAGUGGCCAAACAUGGUUGCAACGGGUAACGGAGGGUUAGGGCUCGACCCCGGAGAAGGAGCCUGAGAGACGGCUACUACAUCCAAGGAAGGCAGCAGGCGCGCAAAUUACCCAAUCCCGACACGGGGAGGUAGUGACAAUAAAUACCGAUAUAGGGCUCUUUUGGGUCUUAUAAUUGGAAUGAGUACAAUUUAAAUCCCUUAACGAGGAACAAUUGGAGGGCAAGUCUGGUGCCAGCAGCCGCGGUAAUUCCAGCUCCAAUAGCGUAUAUUAAAGUUGUUGUGGUUAAAAAGCUCGUAGUUAAACANNNNNNNNNNCGCGGGUAAUUACCAGCUCGCAAUAAGAGUAUAUUAAAGGUUGUUGUGGUUAAAAAGCUCGUAGUUGAACCUUGGGCCUGGCUGGCCGGUCCGCCUCACCGCGUGCACUGGUCCGGCCGGGCCUUUCCCUCCGCGGAACCCCAUGCCCUUCGCUGGGCGUGGCGGGGAAACGGGACUUUUACUUUGAAAAAAUUAGAGUGCUCCAGGCAGGCCUAUGCUCGAAUACAUUAGCAUGGAAUAAUGAAAUAGGACGCGCGGUUCUAUUUUGUUGGUUUCUAGGACCGCCGUAAUGAUUGAUAGGGACAGUCGGGGGCGUCAGUAUUCAACCGUCAGAGGUGAAAUUCUUGGACCGGUUGAAGACUAACUACUGCGAAAGCAUUCGCCAAGGAUGUUUUCAUUAAUCAGGAACGAAAGCUAGGGGAUCGAAGACGAUCAGAUACCGUCGUAGUCUUAGCCAUAAACUAUGCCGACUAGGGAUCGGGCGAUGUUAUUCUGUGACUCGCUCGGCACCUUCCGAGAAAUCAAAGUGCUUGGGCUCCA